UGUCUCUGUGUGUUUCAGUAAGUCCCAGUCCCUGACCAAUGCCUUCAGCGCGUUGGGAGAUGCAUCGUUCUUCCGCUCCAGCUCGACCAGCUCCUCGGCGGGCGGAGAGGACGAAGCCAAGGCCGAGACCAUCCGGAACAUCCGAAAGUCCUUCGCCAGCCUCUUCUCUGAUUAGUCCUCUCCCACAUGCUCUAGGAUUGGCAGAUGACUUCAUUGACAUAAACGUGACCCAGUCUGAGAUUAACUGUGUGUAACUGUAUAACUCCCAAGUCCCGCCUCCAUCCCCUGCCUCUGUGUCUCUGAGGACUCAAUUGGCCAGUUGAGUGUGAUGAUGUCAAAGUGCCGGCUACCUGUAACUACCUGUAGCUAGCUACCUGCGUGAAGCUUGGCCCUCGGUCAGUGUGUGAGGAGGAGGAGGAGAUAUAUAUGACGUUCUAAUGCAUGAAGAUGACGGCUCCAUCAGUAGGUGUUGUGGAGCAGAAUGGAUGUUUGUGUUGAGUUGAUGUUACCCUCUGGAUGUUGUAGCCUCAAUGUGAUGUUUUAUUACAGAUUAGUGACUGUGAUUGGUAUCACCAUAUGUACUUCCUGUGUAGUACAGAUAUCUGCAGUACGUUCUUCAUCAUUAACAGUUGUUUAAUAAUAAUACCUCGUUGUGGCUGUGGACUCAUACAUACAAGCAGACUCUCCUCUCCUUUACGGUGUCAGACCUCUAUUUAAUCAGUCAGACCUCUCCUUUAAUCUGUCAGAACGCUCCUUUAACUCAGUCAGACCUCUCCUUUAAUCAGUCAGACCCCUCCUUUUAAGGUGUCAGACCUCUAUUUAAUCAGUCAGACCCCUCCUUUAAUCAGUCAGACCCCUCCUUUAAUCAGUCAGACCCCUCCUUUAACUCAGUCAAACAUCUCCUUUAAGAUUCCAGACCCCUCCUUUAAUCAGUCAGACCCCUCCUUUAACUCAGUCAAACCUCUCCUUUAAGAUUCCAGACUGCUCCUUUAAUCAGUCAGACCUCUAUUUAAUCAGUCAGACCUUAAUUUAAGGUAUCCGACCACUCGUUAAGUUGUCAAGCCAACACCAGAACCGGUCAGUUUCAAAAACGUUUCAGAUCAACUGUCCUGUAAACACCUUGGUGUCCAGCAGUUCUACCAACCUGUCAGCUUCUUUCAACUUAAAGCCAUCUAACAUGUUAUCUUGUUUAAUGCUUUGUAAAUGUUGUAUUGUACCGUUACUGUAUGUGAGUCAUCCAGGAGUUUAUUUUGUAAUAAUGAAUCAUUGAUAAUGUAUUGUAGGUUCCUGUACUGUUUUAUUUGUACGUAUGCAGUACUGCCUUGCAUGAUCAAUAUGACCCAGUGACCCUUGGUACCAUAGUAAUGUUACCUGUACAUAAAUGUCAAUAAAUAAAGAUGUGCUAAAUCGUUCCACUAA